GACGAACGCUGGCGGCGUGCUUAACACAUGCAAGUCGAACGAGACGAUUGAAAGCUUGCUUUUAAAAGUCGAGUGGCAAACGGGUGAGUAACGCGUAGACAACCUGCCUUUGAGAUGGGGACAACAGUUCGAAAGGACUGCUAAUACCGAAUGUUGUAUAUUUUCCACAUGGAAGAUAUAUUAAAGAUGGCCUCUAUUUAUAAGCUAUCGCUCAAAGAUGGGUCUGCGUCUGAUUAGCUAGUUGGUGUGGUAACGGCCUACCAAGGCGACGAUCAGUAGCCGGUCUGAGAGGAUGAACGGCCACAUUGGGACUGAGACACGGCCCAGACUCCUACGGGAGGCAGCAGUGGGGAAUCUUCCACAAUGGACGAAAGUCUGAUGGAGCAACGCCGCGUGAGUGAAGAAGGGUUUCGGCUCGUAAAGCUCUGUUGUCGGGGACGAAUGUGCAGUAUUUGAAUAAAGUACUGCAAUGACGGUACCUGACGAGGAAGCCACGGCUAACUACGUGCCAGCCGCCGCUGUAA
rnacentral:rRNA from 1 species